rnacentral:rRNA from 1 species
UACGUAGGUGACAAGCGUUGUCCGGAUUUACUGGGCGUAAAGAGCGCGCAGGCGGUCGUUCAAGUCGAGUGUGAAAUCCCCCGGCUCAACUGGGGAGGGUCACUCGAUACUGAUCGACUCGAAGACAGGAGAGGGAAGCGGAAUUCCCGGUGUAGUGGUGAAAUGCGUAGAUAUCGGGAGGAACACCAGUGGCGAAGGCGGCUUCCUGGCCUGUUCUUGACGCUGAGGCGCGAAAGCUAGGGGAGCAAACGGG